rnacentral:rRNA from 1 species
ACCCGCUGAAUUUAAGCAUAUAAGUAAGUGGUGGAAAUUAAACCAACUGGGAUCUCUUUAGUAAUUGCGCAUGAACCAGGAUAUGCUUAGCUUGACAAAUGGAGCUGCUGGCUUUGAAUUGUAUUGUGGAAAYGUAUUGCCAACAGAGGUGCAGGUGCCAGCCAUUUGAAAGAAAGCGUCAAUGAGGGUGAGAAUCCUGUUUGUCAUAUGCAGCCCUCUGUGCACGGUGUAUAUUUGCUGAGUCACACUCCUUGGCAUUGGAAUGCAAAGUGGGUGGUAAGUUUCAUGCAAAGGUAAAUAUGCAAUUGAGACUGAUAGCGCACAAGUACCAUGAGGGACAUAUGAAAAGGACUUUGAAAAGAGAAUUAAACGAGUUUGUAUUUGCUGAACACAAAGUAAACAGAUGUGAUUUCCUUAGUGAGAUUGUAGCACUUGCUUGACAAUAGGUUUUGGCGGUGGGUGCAAUGAUUCUUGCUUUGUAUGCCAGUUUCUAUGUGGACAUUUGAUUACCUGUGCACUUGAAUGGUAAUUUUCCUGCGGGGGGUGGAUUGCAUAUGCAUGUAAUUAUUUGCAUGUUUUAUUACUGUGUCUGGUGUAUGUGUUUGUGUUMUUGUGCUUGUGGUUGCUUUCUUCCUUGGGCUUGCAAGCCCUGGCACACACAUUCUGGCAACAUGCUUCUGCUUGACCCGUCUUGAAACACGGUCCAAGG